UAGCCCCUUUCUUUCACUUCUCGCCUCUCUCUCUACCCGAUUCCUCUCUCUCUCUUCGUAUUAUUGCCUGGCGACAAAGCUAGGUGAUGGCAGCGACGGACGGCGGCUACAGAUCGGCGAAGCACCGGCGACGAGGUGGUCCAGGCGGCGGUGGCAGUGGGCGUUGACGGCAGCAAGGACCUUCGGCGGGUAGCAGUAGCUUCGCGACCAUGGACCUCCGUCUCCCUCUUGAAUUAACCCAACCGCAGCAGCCGUUCUCUUUGUAUCUUCAAUAGCAGCUGCAACAAUGGACGAUGUUGGUGUUGCUACGGAUGACACGGUACGAACGGAAACAGGGGAAUGAGAUGGUAGAUUAAGGAAGGUUAAAGACGGAUUAUUAGACUGAGGUUCCCCAUUGAAGUGACUAGUCUAAGAGUUGAGUCUAAAUUGGAUGCUUGCUUUUGAGAGCUUUGGCUUUGAGGUCUGAAGGUUCGGUAGUGGAGGACCUGGACUUGUGGCUAGUUGAGAGCACGGCGUAGAACUUGUGCCCGAGAAUUGAUUAUGGUAUAGAUGUAUAAAUUAGAAUUUGAUCUGCUGAUGUUAUAGUUGGUUCUGGAUGGUCCAAUGACAUGUGUAUGUGGGUUUAGAUAGAACCUUACAGCCUGUGCGUUUGAGCUUAGUUGUAGCCCAAGCGUGGCAUAACACCCCUUUGUUUAAGUUUUGGUUUCGCUUUCGUAUUUAUAUUCAGUAUUUUAGUAAGAAAAAGCUUUUAUUUUGAUUUA